rnacentral:lncRNA from 1 species
GCCUAUAACAAUAUAUAUCUUACACUACAAAAAUAAUAAUAACUAAUUAUCAUUUGCCAUGCACAGCACUCAACUUCACUGAGGAUGGAAUUUUUGGCGCACAUUUUGACGAGCAAAGCAAACGAAUGUUUCGACAACAUCCCUGAAGAUGUCCAAUACAUGAUUAAAGAGUUAGACAAAAUGUAACAUAGAUGCUCAUAAUACGACAAAUAGCUCUGUUAUGUCUUGUUACAUGAAAAAAUAUUUCUGAACUAUAAUUUUUGUUUUUAGAAGCAUUCCAAAAUUAAGCCGGAGCGUUAGCACGGGCAUUAUACUAGUAGAGGUAGUUAGAGAGAUUGACUUGCAUCAAAGCAAGUCGUUGCCAAUAAUCUCGUCAGCAGCGGCGCAUGCAUGCGUGUACGGUA